rnacentral:rRNA from 1 species
CGGAGGCCAUUGCUAUCGGAGUCCGAUUUAGCCAUGCUAGUCGUGCGAGUUCAGACUCGCGGCACCGAGCUCAGUAACACGUGGCCAAACUACCCUACAGAGACGGAUACCCUCGGGAAACUGAGGUUAACCCGUCAUAUCGAUCUCAGGCUUGAAUCGCAGAGAUCACAAAACGCCCCGGCGCUGUAGGAUGUGGCUGCGGUUGAUUAGGUAGACGGUGGGGUAACGGCCCACCGUGCCCAUAAUCAGUACAGGUUGUGAGAGCAAGAACCUGGAGACGGAAUCUGAGACAAGAUUCCGGGCCCUACGGGGCGCAGCAGGCGCGAAACCUUUACACUGCACGCACGUGCGAUAAGGGGACUCCGAGUGCGAGGGCAUAUCGUCCUCGCUUUCGUGUACCGUAGGGUGGUACACCAACAAGGGCUGGGCAAGACCGGUGCCAGCCGCCGCGGUAAUACCGGCAGCCCGAGUGAUGGCCGAUCUUAUUGGGCCUAAAGCGUCCGUAGCUGGCUGCGCAAGUCCGUCGGGAAAUCCACUCGCCCAACGAGUGGGCGUCCGACGGAAACUGCACAGCUUGGGACCGGAAGGCUCGAAGGGUACGUUCGGGGUAGGAGUGAAAUCCCAUAAUCCCGCACGGACCACCGAUGGCGAAAGCACUUCGAGAAAACGGAUCCGACAGUGAGGGACGAAAGCCAGGGUCUCCAACCGGAUUAGAUACCCGGGUAGUCCUGGCCGUAAA